rnacentral:rRNA from 1 species
CACGUAGGAUCCGAGCGUUAUCCGGAUUUACUGGGCGUAAAGCGCGUGCAGGCGGCCGGGUAAGUUGGACGUGAAAGCUCCUGGCUCAACUAGGAGAGGUCGUUCAAAACUGCCUGGCUAGAGGGCGACAGAGGGAGGUGGAAUUCCCGGUGUAGUGGUGAAAUGCGUAGAUAUCGGGAGGAACACCAGUGGCGAAGGCGGCCUCCUGGGUCGCCCCUGACGCUCAGACGCGAAAGCUAGGGGAGCGAACGGGAUUAGAUACCCCGGUAGUCCUAGCUGUAAACGAUGUGGACUUGGCGUUGGUGGGGCCAAAUCCAUCAGUGCCGGAGCUAACGCGAUAAGUCCACCGCCUGGGGACUACGGCCGCAAGGUUAAAACUCAAAGGAAUUGGCGGGGGCCCGCACAAGCAGCGGAGCGUGUGGUUUAAUUCGAUGCUACACGAAGAACCUUACCCGGGUUUGACAUCCAGGUGGUAGGGAACCGAAAGGUAACCGACCCUUCGGGGAGCCUGGACAGGUGCUGCAUGGCUGUCGUCAGCUCGUGUCGUGAGAUGUCCGGUUAAGUCCGGUAACGAGCGCAACCCUUGCUGUAUGUUACAUGUGUCAUACAGGACUGCCGGUUUAGUGCCGGAGGAAGGCGGGGAUGACGUCAAGUCAGCAUGGCCUUUAUAUCCGGGGCUACACACACGCUACAAUGGCCAGUACAACAGGUUGCAAAACCGCGAGGUGGAGCCAAUCCCCAAAACUGGCCUCAGUUCAGAUUGCAGGCUGCAACUCGCCUGCAUGAAGUCGGAGUUGCUAGUAACCGCGCGUCAGCAAUAGUGCGGUGAAUACGUUCUCGGGCCU